UACGUAGGGCGCAAGCGUUUGUCCGGAAUUAUUGGGCGUAAAGAGCUCGUAGGCGGUUUGUCGCGUCUGCUGUGAAAAUCCGGGGCUCAACCCCGGACUUGCAGUGGGUACGGGCAGACUAGAGUGUGGUAGGGGAGACUGGAAUUCCUGGUGUAGCGGUGGAAUGCGCAGAUAUCAGGAGGAACACCGAUGGCGAAGGCAGGUCUCUGGGCCACUACUGACGCUGAGAAGCGAAAGCAUGGGGAGCGAACAGG
rnacentral:rRNA from 1 species